rnacentral:SRP_RNA from 1 species
GCCAGGCGUGGUGGCACACACCUGUAGUCCCAGCUACUCAGGAGGCUGGGAUGGGAGGAUCACUUGAGCCCAGGAGGUCAAGGCUGCAGUGAGCUGAGAUCACAUCACUGCACUCUCGCCUGAGUGACAAAGUGAGAACCUGUCUCAA